UACGUAGGGGGGCAAGCGUUGUCCGGAUUUAUUGGGCGUAAAGAGCGUGUAGGCGGCCACACAGGUCAGCUGUGAAAACUCGAGGCUCAACCUCGAGACGUCGGUUGAAACCGUAUGGCUAGAGUCCGGAAGAGGAGAGUGGAAUUCCCGGUGUAGCGGUGAAAUGCGCAGAUAUCGGGAAGAACACCCGUGGCGAAGGCGGCUCUCUGGGACGGUACUGACGCUGAGACGCGAAAGCGUGGGGAGCGAACGAGG
rnacentral:rRNA from 1 species